rnacentral:lncRNA from 1 species
CGCUCCAGGCGGGAGGGGAUGGCCUGGCCUCCGCUGAGCUGCGAGCAGCUUUGUGAGAGCUGAGGAAAAACUUUAAAUGGGCCAUAGCCUGGAGGUAUUGUACUGUCCCUGGCCGACAGCCUGGGCCUGGAGCGCAGCCAGGGAGGGCGGAAUGGGGCCCUAAGGGCUCUGCAGAUCGGAACAAAAUAAAUAACCCCGCGCAGCGCCCCUCGCGCGCGGAGCGGCCGCGCGGGGCCGGCAGCGCCCUCCUCUGCGCGGCCUCCUGAGGGCACCGGGCAGCCGCGUCUGCUUUCUAUUAUUAAAAGAGGGNNNNNNNNNNNNNNNNNNNNUAUUAAAAGAGGGAAAUGAAAAAAAAACAAAACAAAAAAACCAAACCCGCAAUGUAAACACUCUUACAAUUGCUGCGGAAACUGGAUAUAACCAGUUUCUCUGCCCUGUCUCCUUUAGGUUUCAGGUAUCAUCUUCUCUGCUGACAUGAGCUUCAUUCCUUCCUUCUCCCAUGACUUGUUUGUCUUCAAAGCCACAGCCCAAAUAUGAAGGUGUAUAUAAGCUCUUUGCUGAAUCUGUCCAGGGUGGAGACAUAGCAAAUCUUGAACUGGAAGAUGCUGCAGAGUUCCUGAGUUCCAGGACAUUGAGGGCAUUCACACACUCAGAUCUGGACCAGACGCUAACUGGGAGAGUCACCACAUCAACUGAUCCUGCUCUGGCACCAGCAGCUUCUCAGGAGUAAAUGUGGAAUAAAAGAACCAAGAGUUUAAAAGCA